rnacentral:lncRNA from 1 species
GCUCACGCCUGUAAUCCCAGCACUUUGGGAGGCCAAGGCAGGCGGAUCACCGGAGGUCAGAAGUUCAAGACCAGCCUGACCAAACAUGGAGAAACCCUGUCUCUACUAAAAAUACAAAAUUAGCCGGGCGUGGUGGUGCACACCUGUAAUCCCAGCUACUUGGGAGACUGAGACAGGAGAAUUGCUUGAACCCAAGAGGCAGAGGUUGCAGCAGUGAGCCGAGAUCACGCCACUGUAUUCAGCCUGGAUGAUAAGCUGAGACUCUGUCUCAAAAAAAAAAAAAAGGCAAUAUAGCAAAACGGACUCUCUGGGUUCUGCUGCUUGGAUAUCAGAAAUCUGACUCCAUGAAAGUGCAUCAUCACAAUACUGACUUUGUGUAUAAGCAUUGAGUGUGUACACAAAAUGUUGAAACUUCCUCGAUAAAUGAGAUAUCCUUUUCGUACAUCUGCAUUUGUGAAAGAUAAAAUUUCUUGAGAUCUCAGCUCUUUGGGUGACUGCAUAUGCAGUGGUGACCCAGCACAGUUUCCAUCAAUCUCGUCAAAAGACUUGAGGUUGUUGGGCACAGUAUUUCAGAUGACCACAGUUAAAAAGCUGGGUAUACACAAUUAACAACCAAAGUGAUAUGCAUUUAUACCUUUCCCUUUAUGACCAAUUUCUUUAUAAAUAUGGCUCAUCUGCUCAUAACUGUUAGACCCACCCAACUGUCAUUAGUAACCUGAGUGUUUAUGCUUGCAAAAAUGUAUGUUGUUAUUGUCUGUUUUAUUAUAUUAAGUGAUGUAUAAAGUAUUCUGUUGUGUUUUUAUGUUUCUCAAAUAAAUUCCCCUUUAAAAAAUAAAUAUCUUUAAAUUUUUUAAAUUAUUUCUUCCAUAAUUAUAUUUUGGGGAUUUUGAUAUUUUCUGGGCUGUGGUUUUUGGGAUUUUAGACCUUAGGGAUUUUAGUCUUUUGGAAUUUAAACAGUUUAGGACUAUGAUGUUCUGGACUAUCUUUUGGGAUUAUGA